rnacentral:piRNA from 1 species
AUAUGAGAGACUACCACGAU